ACACAUGCAAGUCGAGCGAAGCAAUUUAAGUGAAGUUUUCGGAUGGAUCUUAGACUGACUGAGCGGCGGACGGGUGAGUAACGCGUGGAUAACCUGCCUCACACAGGGGGACAACAGUUAGAAAUGACUGCUAAUACCGCAUAAGCGCACAGUACCGCAUGGUAUAGUGUGAAAAACUCCGGUGGUGUGAGAUGGAUCCGCGUCUGAUUAGGUAGUUGGUGAGGUAACGGCCCACCAAGCCGACGAUCAGUAGCCGACCUGAGAGGGUGACCGGCCACAUUGGGACUGAGACACGGCCCAAACUCCUACGGGAGGCAGCAGUGGGGAAUAUUGCACAAUGGGCGAAAGCCUGAUGCAGCAACGCCGCGUGAGUGAAGAAGUAUCUCGGUAUGUAAAGCUCUAUCAGCAGGGAAGAAAAUGACGGUACCUGACUAAGAAGCCCCGGCUAACUACGUGCCAGCAGCCGCGGUAAUACGUAGGGGGCAAGCGUUAUCCGGAUUUACUGGGUGUAAAGGGAGCGCAGACGGCACUGCAAGUCUGAAGUGAAGGCCCGGGGCUCAACCCCGGGACUGCUUUGGAAACUGUAGAGCUAGAGUGCUGGAGAGGCAAGCGGAAUUCCUAGUGUAGCGGUGAAAUGCGUAGAUAUUAGGAAGAACACCAGUGGCGAAGGCGGCUUGCUGGACAGUAACUGACGUUCAGGCUCGAAAGCGUGGGGAGCAAACAGGAUUAGAUACC
rnacentral:rRNA from 1 species